rnacentral:rRNA from 1 species
GAUGAAUGCUGGCGGCGUGCCUAACACAUGCAAGUCGAGCGGCAGCGCGGAGAGUUUACUCUCUGGCGGCGAGCGGCGGACGGCUGAGUAACGCGUGGGAACGUGCCCCAAAGUGAGGAAUAACUGCCCGAAAGGGUAGCUAAUGCCGCAUAUGAUCUUCGGAUUAAAGGAUUUAUCCGCUUUGGGAGCGGCCCGCGUUAGAUUAGGUAGUUUGUAGGGUAAUGGCCUACCAAGCCGACGAUCUAUAGCUGGUCUGAGAGGAUGAUCAGCCAGACUGGCACUCAGACACGCCCCAUGCUCCUACGGGAGGCAGCAGUGAGGAAUCUACCACAAUGGGCGAAAGCCUGAUGGAGCAACGCCGCGUGAAGGAUGAAGGCCCUCGGGUUGUAAACUUCUUUUAUAAGUGAAGAAUAUGACGGUAACUUAUGAAUAAGCACCGGCUAACUACGUGCCAGCCGCCGCGGUAA